GGAGGACAUUGUCAGGUGGGGA
rnacentral:siRNA from 1 species